ACGCUGGCGGCGUGCCUAACACAUGCAAGUCGAGCGAUGAAGUUCCUUCGGGAACGGAUUAGCGGCGGACGGGUGAGUAACACGUGGGCAACCUGCCUUAUAGAGGGGAAUAGCCUUCCGAAAGGAAGAUUAAUACCGCAUAAGAUUGUAGCUUCGCAUGAAGUAGCAAUUAAAGGAGCAAUCCGCUAUAAGAUGGGCCCGCGGCGCAUUAGCUAGUUGGUGAGGUAACGGCUCACCAAGGCGACGAUGCGUAGCCGACCUGAGAGGGUGAUCGGCCACAUUGGGACUGAGACACGGCCCAGACUCCUACGGGAGGCAGCAGUGGGGAAUAUUGCACAAUGGGGGAAACCCUGAUGCAGCAACGCCGCGUGAGUGAUGACGGCCUUCGGGUUGUAAAGCUCUGUCUUUGGGGACGAUAAUGACGGUACCCAAGGAGGAAGCCACGGCUAACUACGUGCCAGCAGCCGCGGUAAUACGUAGGUGGCAAGCGUUGUCC
rnacentral:rRNA from 1 species